AAGGUUUGACAUGCUACUGCAAACCCCUAGAAACAGGGGAAUCCUUAGAGGGUGUAGCACAGGUGUUGCACGGCUGUCGUCAGUUCGAGUCGUGAGAUGUACGGUUAAGUCCGGUAUCGAACGCAACCCCUAUUGUUAGUUGUAUCACUCUAGCGAAACCGCCUCGGUAACGGGGAGGAAGGAGGGGACGACGUCAAGUCAGCGUGGCCCUUAUGUCUUGGGCUACACAGGCGCUACAAUGGUCAGUACAAAGGGUUGCAACGUUGCGAAACGAAGCUAAUCCCAAAAAGCUGGCCCCAGUUCGGAUUGAAGGCUGCAACUCGCCUUCAUGAAGUCGGAAUCGCUAGUAAUCGCUGGUCAGCCAUACAGCGGUGAAUACGUUCUCGGGUCU
rnacentral:rRNA from 1 species